UACGAAAAGUGGAAGUCAGAUAAGGAAACUAGAGAGACUCUGAGGAGGUUUGGUUGAAGAAUGAAUGUCAGCUGGAGGGAGAUGUGGGAUCCAGGGGAGCUCUCUCCUGACCGUAAGACAGAGAAUCCUAUAAGCUGAGAAGACUCAGAUGCCAAGCAGCAAGGGUUAGCUCCAGCCGGAAGCCAAGUCUCCUGGCGUUGCGGGACAGGAGACUUGAGGAAACCGGAAGAACUCUCUAGAGCUCGCCACUUCCUCCACCCCGACCCUGUCCAUGUGUCGUCUUCUUGCAAGUCUGGGCUUUGUAGAACGUUACUGGCCACACUUGGCCUUGGCUUUCAGGACCCACCAGAGUCCAGGACUGACUCAUCGCGUCAAGGGAGACUGCCUCUCCACAGCUGGGAAAACAGCAGCUGCAGAUGGACUCCAUGUCCCACCCUGUCAACAUUUAGUUUCCUUCCUGGGCAGAUAAGGCUGAAGACUAAAAGACAUGGGCAGGGACCCAGGCUCAGAGGGCUCCUCAGAUGUCCUCAAGCAGCUGGGCUCUCUGAACCCGCAGUUUCUGGCCAAUGGCUGGUUCUUGUGAAUGAGCUUCAGAGGGUCAGGAGUGCGGUCUCUGGUGUCCACCAGAUCAACUCCUCAGCUGUCAGCUUAGCUGGGAGGCUCUGAGCCUUGUCUCCAUCUAUAAUAUUGAGACAGAUAUUGAGCCUGCCUCUUCAGGAUGCCCUGGAUAUAGUUUGCACAGAAGCGCAUGUGCAAGGCCCUUAGAACUGUACCUGGCCUCGCUUACAUGCUCACUAGCAAUUUCAAUUUAGACUCCAUCAUUCAAGAUAUCAGGAACUUGAAGCAGCUAGUCAUAGCCCCAGUCAGGAGCAGAGAGAGCAUGAGCAUGUGCAUGGUAGGUAGUCUUUGAGCUCACUUUCUCCUUUUGUAUACAGUUAAGGACCUAAGCCUAGGGAAUGGCGCCACCCACUUUUAGGCCCCGGUAGAGGAAGCCUCCACCUUCAGGACAGAAGGUACCUGGGGAAAGACCUCCCUACCUCCCCCCAGAACCCUGCCAGUGGUGGUUCUCACGGAGUGGCUACCUAGAUUACUCAGCCACACCCAUGCUUCUGGGCAUGGGUAUUGUAGUUCUCAGCUGUCAGCAUCAGAGAGAGACUGUGCCUGACCUGAGCAGAAAGAGUGUCAAGAGCGUCUGCUUUGACGGGGCUCAUGGGAAAGGCAGGCCAAAGUUUAGCCAAGGUGUAUACCACAUCAUACUUUACAAACAGUAAGUGGUCAAAAAACAUUAUAGAAAUAGGAAAAUUACAUCUUAUUAUUACUGACAUUUAAGGGCAAAGUCUCUGACUUCAGGGUCCCAAGAGACUAGGCUCCACCAACUGUCUCAAGAUGCCCAUCAAGGGACAAGCAAAGGUCAAGGCAGGGAGAAAAUUAGAACUGGCACACCUAUGCUGAGAACAGAGGGCCUGGCUUUCUUAGUCCUUCAGGGUACUGAGUCCUUAGCUUGCAUUCAGGGGUACUGAGUCCUCAGCCUGCAUUCAGGGGUACUGAGUCCUCAGCCAGCAUUCAGAGGUACUGAGUCCUCAGCACUGCCUUCAGAGGUACUGAGUCCUCAGCCCUGCCUUCAGGGGUACUGAGUCCUCAGCCAGCAUUCAGGAGUACUGAGUCCUCAACCUGCAUUCAGGGGUACUGAGUCCUCAGCCUGCAUUCAGGAGUACUGAGUCCUCAGCCCUGCAUUCAGGGGUACUGAGUCCUCAGCCUUGCAUUCAGGGGUACUGAGUUCUCAGCCUGCCUUCAGAGGUGCAACAAUAAAACAUAAAAAAGGAAUGAAGGAAGCAAAAAGAAGUAGACACAGCCACGCAGCUCACUUGAAAAUGGUCCAGUUGAUCACAGCUCAGGCCGGCUUCUGCACAUCCCUAUUCAGUUCCCGCUGUGGUGUCUGUUUCUGUAUAGACAACAGCCCCUGUCCCACAAUGGUGACUGCUCCUAAAGCUAAUGAGGGGCAGCUUUAGUUCCUAUCGUGGGAAAAUCACUUUACUUAGACAUAUGUUAUUUACUUCUGUGGUGCUAUGACCAAAAUAGCUGACAUAACUGAAGAGGGGGAUGGUCUGUUUUGACAUAUGGAUUUCAGAGCUCUCUACCUGUAGUCUAUGCUACAGGACUCUAGGUCUGUGUAAGGCGGAGCAUGAUAACAGUAUCAUAUGAAACAAGAGGCCGUGCACUUUGGGGGGGGGCAGGAAGCAGUGGAAGAAGGAAU